rnacentral:rRNA from 1 species
GACGAACGCUGGCGGCGUGCUUAACACAUGCAAGUCGAACGGAAAGGCCCUGCUUUUGUGGGGUGCUCGAGUGGCGAACGGGUGAGUAACACGUGAGUAACCUGCCCUUGACUUUGGGAUAACUUCAGGAAACUGGGGCUAAUACCGGAUAGGAGCUCCUGCUGCAUGGUGGGGGUUGGAAAGUUUCGGCGGUUGGGGAUGGACUCGCGGCUUAUCAGCUUGUUGGUGGGGUAGUGGCUUACCAAGGCUUUGACGGGUAGCCGGCCUGAGAGGGUGACCGGCCACAUUGGGACUGAGAUACGGCCCAGACUCCUACGGGAGGCAGCAGUGGGGAAUAUUGCACAAUGGGCGGAAGCCUGAUGCAGCAACGCCGCGUGCGGGAUGACGGCCUUCGGGUUGUAAACCGCUUUCGCCUGUGACGAAGCGUGAGUGACGGUAAUGGGUAAAGAAGCACCGGCUAACUACGUGCCAGCAGCCGCGGUGAUACGUAGGGUGCGAGCGUUGUCCGGAUUUAUUGGGCGUAAAGGGCUCGUAGGUGGUUGAUCGCGUCGGAAGUGUAAUCUUGGGGCUUAACCCUGAGCGUGCUUUCGAUACGGGUUGACUUGAGGAAGGUAGGGGAGAAUGGAAUUCCUGGUGGAGCGGUGGAAUGCGCAGAUAUCAGGAGGAACACCAGUGGCGAAGGCGGUUCUCUGGGCCUUUCCUGACGCUGAGGAGCGAAAGCGUGGGGAGCGAACAGGCUUAGAUACCCUGGUAGUCCACGCUGUAAACGGUGGGUACUAGGUGUGGGGUCCAUUCCACGGGUUCCGUGCCGUAGCUAACGCUUUAAGUACCCCGCCUGGGGAGUACGGCCGCAAGGCUAAAACUCAAAGGAAUUGACGGGGCCCCGCACAAGCGGCGGAGCAUGCGGAUUAAUUCGAUGCAACGCGUAGAACCUUACCUGGGUUUGACAUGGAUCGGGAGUGCUCAGAGAUGGGUGUGCCUCUUUUGGGGUCGGUUCACAGGUGGUGCAUGGCUGUCGUCAGCUUGUGUCGUGAGAUGUUGGGUUAAGUCCCGCAACGAGCGCAACCCUUGUUCACUGUUGCCAGCACGUUAUGGUGGGGACUCAGUGGAGACCGCCGGGGUCAACUCGGAGGAAGGUGGGGAUGACGUCAAGUCAUCAUGCCCCUUAUGUCCAGGGCUUCACGCAUGCUACAAUGGCUGGUACAGAGAGUGGCGAGCCUGUGAGGGUGAGCGAAUCUCGGAAAGCCGGUCUCAGUUCGGAUUGGGGUCUGCAACUCGACCUCAUGAAGUCGGAGUCGCUAGUAAUCGCAGAUCAGCAACGCUGCGGUGAAUACGUUCCCGGGGCU